rnacentral:rRNA from 1 species
CAGCAGCCGCGGGAAUACGUAGGGUGCGAGCGUUAAUCGGAUUUACUGGGCGUAAAGCGUGCGCAGGCGGCCCGUUAAGACAGGUGUGAAAUCCCUGGGCUCAACCUAGGAAUUGCGCUUGUGACUGGCGGGCUCGAGUACGGUAGAGGGGGGUGGAAUUCCUGGUGUAGCAGUGAAAUGCGUAGAGAUCAGGAGGAACACCGAUGGCGAAGGCAGCCCCCUGGGCCUGUACUGACGCUCAUGCACGAAAGCGUGGGGAGUAAACAGGAUUAGAUACCCCCGUAGUCCCUGUCUCUUAUAC